CAUGCCUAACACAUGCAAGUCGAACGGGGUUUAUAUAACAGAACUCUCCGGAGGGAAGAUAUAUAAACCUAGUGGCGGACGGGUGAGUAACGCGUGGGCAACCUGCCCUGUACCGGGGGACAACAGCCAGAAAUGGCUGCUAAUACCGCAUAAGCCUGCUGUGCCGCAUGGCACAGCAGGGAAAACCACGGUGGUACAGGAUGGGCCCGCGUCUGAUUAGUUAGUUGGCAGGGUAACGGCCUACCAAGACAACGAUCAGUAGCCGGCUUGAGAGAGUGGACGGCCACAUUGGGACUGAGACACGGCCCAGACUCCUGCGGGAGGCAGCAGUGGGGAAUAUUGCACAAUGGGGGGAACCCUGAUGCAGCAAUGCCGCGUGGGUGAAGAAGCACUCCGGUGCGUAAAGCCCUGUCAGCAGGGAAGAAAAUGACAGUACCUGGACAAGAAGCCCCGGCUAACUACGUGCCAGCAGCCGCGGUAAUACGUAGGGGGCAAGCGUUAUCCGGAUUUACUGGGUGUAAAGGGAGCGCAGGCGGCGUGGCAAGUCAGAUGUGAAAACCCGGGGCCCAACCCCGGGAGUGCAUUUGAAACUGCCAUGCUGGAGUGCCGGAGAGGUAAGCGGAAUUCCUAGUGUAGCGGUGAAAUGCGUAGAUAUUAGGAGGAACACCAGUGGCGGAGGCGGCUUACUGGACGGUAACUGACGCUGAGGCUCGAAAGCGUGGGGAGCAAACAGGAUUAGAUACCCUGGUAGUCCACGCCGUAAA
rnacentral:rRNA from 1 species